rnacentral:rRNA from 1 species
CGGACGGGUGAGUAAUGUCUGGGAAACGUGCCUGAUGGGGGGGGAUAACUACUGGAAACGGUAGCUAAUACCGCAUAACGUCGCAAGACCAAAGAGGGGACCGUUCGGGCCUCUUGCCAUCGGAUGUGCCCAGAUGGGAUUAGCUAGUAGGUGGGGUAACGGCUCACCUAGGCGACGAUCCCUAGCUGGUCUGAGAGGAUGACCAGCCACACUGGAACUGAGACACGGUCCAG